GAUGAACGCUGGCGGCGUGCCUAAUACAUGCAAGUCGAGCGAACAGAUGAGGAGCUUGCUCCGCUGACGUUAGCGGCGGACGGGUGAGUAACACGUGUAUAACCUACCUAUAAUACUGGGAUAACUUCGGGAAACCGGAUCUAACCCCGGAGAAUAUAUUGAACCGUAGUGUUCAAUAGUGAAAUUCGGCUGUGCGGGCACUUAUAGAGGGUUCCGCGCCGCAUUAGCUAGUUGUUAAGUUAACGGCUUACCAAGGCAACUAUGCGUAGCCGACCUGGGAGGGGGGUAGGCCACACUGGAGGUGAGACAGGGACCAGACUCCUACGGGAGGCAGCAGUAGGGUAUGUUACGCAAUGGGCGAAAGCAUGACGGAGCAACGCCGCGUGAGUGAUGAAGGUCUUCGGAUCGUAAAACUCUGUUAUUAGGGAAGAACAAAUGUGUAAGUAACUAUGCACGUCUUGACGGUACCUAAUCAGAAAGCAACGGCUAACUACGUG
rnacentral:rRNA from 1 species